rnacentral:rRNA from 1 species
AAAAUCAAUAGUUUUUUAAUUGAAAACUAGAAUGAAAGAAUUAAUAAAAUAUAAAUUGUCUCAAAUUAAUUAAAUUAAAUUUAAAUAAAAAGUUAAAAUGCUUUUAUUAUUUAAUUAGACGAGAAGACCCUAAGAAUUUUAUAAAUUAAUAAUUAAAAUAAUUAUUAUUAAUAGUAUUUUUUAUUAAAAUUUAUUUUAUUGGGAGGAUAGUUAAAUUUUUUAAACUUUAAUUAUUUAAAAACAUUGAUAAUUGAAUUUAAAAUGAUAAUUUUUAUAAUUAUAAGUAAUAAUUACCUUA